rnacentral:rRNA from 1 species
UGGGGAAUAUUGGACAAUGGGCGCAAGCCUGAUCCAGCCAUGCCGCGUGAGUGAUGAAGGCCCUAGGGUUGUAAAGCUCUUUCACCGGUGAAGAUAAUGACGGUAACCGGAGAAGAAGCCCCGGCUAACUUCGUGCCAGCAGCCGCGGUAAUACGAAGGGGGCUAGCGUUGUUCGGAUUUACUGGGCGUAAAGCGCACGUAGGCGGACUUUUAAGUCAGGGGUGAAAUCCCGGGGCUCAACCCCGGAACUGCCUUUGAUACUGGAAGUCUUGAGUAUGGUAGAGGUGAGUGGAAUUCCGAGUGUAGAGGUGAAAUUCGUAGAUAUUCGGAGGAACACCAGUGGCGAAGGCGGCUCACUGGACCAUUACUGACGCUGAGGUGCGAAAGCGUGGGGAGCAAACAAGAUUAGAUACCCUGGUAGUCCACGCCGUAAACGAUGAAUGUUAGCCGUUGGGGAGUUUAACUCUUCGGUGGCGCAGCUAACGCAUUAAACAUUCCGCCUGGGGAGUACGGUCGCAAGA